AAUUUGCUGAAUAAGAAAAAUAUUUGCAAAUCAUUCAUCUGAUAAGUGGUUAAUAACCAAAAUUAUAUAGAGA